rnacentral:rRNA from 1 species
AGUGAACGCUGGCGGUAGGCCUAACACAUGCAAGUCGAACGGCAGCACAGUAAGAGCUUGCUCUUACGGGUGGCGAGUGGCGGACGGUUGAGGAAUACAUCGGAAUCUACUUUUUCGUGGGGGCUAACGUAGGGAAACUUACGCUAAUACCGCAUACGACCUACGGGUGAAAGCAGGGGAUCUUCGGACCUUGCGCGAUUGAAUGAGCCGAUGUCGGAUUAGCUAGUUGGCGGGGUAAAGGCCCACCAAGGCGACGAUCCGUAGCUGGUCUGAGAGGAUGAUCAGCCACACUGGAACUGAGACACGGUCCAGACUCCUACGGGAGGCAGCAGUGGGGAAUAUUGGACAAUGGGCGAAAGCCUGAUCCAGCCAUACCGCGUGGGUGAAGAAGGCCUUCGGGUUGUAAAGCACUUUUGGUGGGAAAGAAAAGCAGCAGGUUAAUACCCCGCUGUUCUGACGGUACCAAAAGAAUAAGCACCGGCUAACUUCGUG